AAUGAACGUUGGCGGCAGGCUUAACACAUGCAAGUCGAACGAAAAGGUAAUUUCGGUUACUGGAUUCGUGGCGGACGGGUGAGUAUAACAUGGAAAUCUACCAAGCAGUGGGGGAUAACAGUUGGAAACGACUGAUAAUACCGCAUACGCCAUAUUGGGAAAACUAAGGUGCUGUUUGAUGAGUCCAUGCCGGAUUAGCUAGUUGGUAGGGUAAAGGCCUACCAAGGCGACGAUCUGUAGCUGGUUUGAGAGGAUGAUCAGCCACACUGGGACUGAGACACGGCCCAGACUCCUACGGGAGGCAGCAGUGAGGAAUAUUGCACAAUGGGCGAAAGCCUGAUGCAGCCAUGCCGCGUGAAUGAAGAAGGUUUUCGGACUGUAAAGUUCUUUCAGUGGUGAGAAUAGUGAUGCUAACCACAGAAGAAGUCCCGGCUAACUCCGUGCCAGCCGCCGCGGUAAU
rnacentral:rRNA from 1 species